GCCUGGGUGGCUUAGUCGGUUAAGCGUCUGACUUCGGCUCAGGUCAUGAUCUUGUGGUUCGUGAGUUCAAGCCCCGCGUCGGGCU
rnacentral:tRNA from 1 species